rnacentral:rRNA from 1 species
UACAGAGGUCCCAAGCGUUGUUCGGAUUCACUGGGCGUAAAGGGUGCGUAGGUGGUCGGGUAAGUCUGAUGUGAAAUCUCUGGGCUCAACCCAGAAAUGGCAUUGGAUACUAUUCGACUAGAGGAGUGGAGGGGGGACUGGAAUACUUGGUGUAGCAGUGAAAUGCGUAGAUAUCAAGUGGAACACCAGUGGCGAAGGCGAGUCCCUGGACACUUCCUGACACUGAGGCACGAAAGCUAGGGGAGCAAACAGG